GCCGCGUGAGUGAUGACGGUCUUCGGAUUGUAAAGCUCUGUCUUUUGGGACGAUAAUGACGGUACCUGAGGAGGAAGCCACGGCUAACUACGUGACAGCCGCGGCGGUAAUAUACCAGCCGCCGCGGUAAU
rnacentral:rRNA from 1 species